rnacentral:rRNA from 1 species
CCUACGGGAGGCAGCAGUGAGGAAUAUUGGUCAAUGGCCGUAACGCUGAACCAGCCAAGUAGCGUGAGGGAAGAAUGCCCUAUGGGUUGUAAACCUCUUUUAUGCGGGGAUAAAUGUGUGCACGUGUGGAUUUUUGCCGGUACCGCAUGAAUAAGGACCGGCUAAUUCCGUGCCAGCAGCCGCGGUAAUACGGAAGGUCCGGGCGUUAUCCGGAUUUAUUGGGUUUAAGGGGAGCGUAGGCCGGUCAUUAAGCGUGCCGUGAAAUUUUGUGGCUCAACCAUGGGAGUGCGGCGCGAACUGGAGAACUGGAGUGCGCGGAAGGCAGGCGGAAUUCGUGGUGUAGCGGUGAAAUGCUUAGAUAUCACGAAGAACACUGAUUGCGAAGGCAGCCUGCCGCAGCGUUACUGACGCUGAAGCUCGAAAGCGUGGGUAUCGAACAGGAUUAGAUACCCCGGUAGUC